ACGACUUUCGAUAAAGUUUCGAUAAAGAAAAUGAAACUAUUAGCCUUUUGGAAAAUUGCACGUGGCUGCACAUAAAAUAGCACAAGAAAUAAAAUGACUAAAUCACGAUAAUGUGGUCGUCGACUCGUGUCAAUUUUCGUGUCGUGUGGCUCUAUGCUUUCCACUCCAUGCUGUUUAGCAGAUUUGAGACCUGAGCCAGUCAUCGUAACAACAAGAUAAGCAAGUUUUGCUUGUGCUGGACCUGUCAUCACAGCAACAAUCCCAGAAUCAUCGUUUGGAUAAACAGCAUCCCUGUUGAUUGGAGAUUCUACCGAUGGCCGAGCUACGUAUCUCUUCCUUCGUCUCCCUUUCAUAAAAUGUCCUCGUGUACACUUCAUGUGAAUGUGGGUGUAUUCACGAGGACCCCCUUUUCUCCCUAUCCCGACUGCUGGAUUCAACUUUUUGACGGAUGGAACGCUUAUCGCCUGGCCGUAUUUCCCAGCCUUCAAGGUAGGAAAA